GUUUAAGCUAUGUUUAAAAGGAAAAAAAAAACAGACACAGUUGUGAUUUGCAGUUGUUGUUCUAAAGAUAUAAAAAUUUUAAUACAGGAGAAGCUGCUUAAACAUCACAUGAAAGAAUUCAAUCAAAAGUGUAUUAUAAACGAAAAAAACAAAUGAAAAUCAUGAACAUUUUACGUUAUCCAAUAGUAUUACUUAGAAUUUUAAUUAGAACUUUAUCACAACUUUUUAAUAGUAACCAUACUUUAAGAAUCAUUGUGGUUGGAACUAAAAAAAGCGGAAAAACCAGCAUUAUAAGAAGAUUAGCAGGAGACUGUUUUUAUGAAAACGGGUAUACUACAAUUCCAGACUCAACUAGUUUACGCAUGAAUUAUUGCUACUCAGUGGAUGGUACUAUUAGGCAAAAAGAACUUGAAAUAACAGAAUUAUGCGUUUCGACCGAAGAAACAAUAUUAAUAGAUUGCUUGAAAAAGGCAGACGGUAUUAUACUGGUGUACUCCACCGAGAAUACACAAGAUAUGAAGUACUUACACAGUACUUUAGCAAAAUUACUUCGAGUAUGCACGCAUAAAAAACGUAGCUGCUCAAUUAUUUAUACGUGUAAUAAAAUUGACUUAAUAGAUUCAAAUGUGCUAAACAAGUACCUAGAAAACCUUCAUUCCAAUGAAGUUGAUCAAAUGCCGGAAAGAUUUGACGUUUCUGCCAAAACAAAUGAAGGAAUUUCAGAGGCUUUUUUGUAUUUACUUAAAAGCUGUCUCAAUCGUUAAGAUCCAUUUUAUUAGAUUUAAGUUUCAGGUAACGCGAGUUGUUUAUAGCUAUACUUCUUACAAAACAGUGUCCCACUAGAUACUCAUGCUUAUCAGGUUUGCUUCUGAAUAAAAAACUAGCUUAAUAUGUAUAUAAUGGUCUUAAAUGUUUAUAAAACUUUUCUAUUACCGAGUUUAAACUCUAUAAUUAAAGCUUUACUCGUACUAUGCGUCUACAUUAUUUAUAGUAACAAUAUAUUAAUUGAAACAGGAUUUGUAAGUAGUAUAAAUAAUUCUACAAAUAAAUUAGACAGCGUAAUUUAUGCACAUACCCUAAUUAGAUUGCUGCUAGGAGUUGGUGGGACAUUUUUUAGUAUGUUUUGUUGGGUAUUUUUCUUAUAAACACAUCUUUAGUUAUUUGUUUUAUAUUUUAACACACAUGUAAAUGAUUUACAUAUUUUUCUCUUCUGUAUAUUGAAAACCUAUUUUUAAGUUGUUUAUAUUAAGAAUAAUUAAAUUAA
rnacentral:lncRNA from 1 species